rnacentral:rRNA from 1 species
CAAGUAAGUCCUCUUGGGAAAUCUGGCAGCUUAACUGUCAGGCUGCUAGGGGAUACUGCUAGGCUUGGGACCGGGAGAGGUGAGAGGUACCUUGGGGGUAGGGGUGAAAUCUUGUGAUCCUCGGGGGACCACCUGUGGCGAAGGCGUCUCACCAGAACGGGUCCGACGGUAAGGGACGAAAGCUGGGGGAACGAACCGGAUUAGAUACCCGGGUAGUCCUAGCCGUAAACGAUGCUCGCUAGGUGUCAGUCAGAGUGCGACCGUGAUUGGUGCCGAAGGGAAGCCGUGAAGCGAGCCACCUGGGAAGUAUGGCCGCAAGGCUGAAACUUAAAGGAAUUGGCGGGGGAGCACUACAACGGGUGGAGCCUGCGGUUUAAUUGGAUUCAACGCCGGAAAUCUCACCGGAGGCGACAGC